GGCCUUCUUUUACUAUGGGAAGAAACAGCAUGAGUCUCCCCUUCCUUCUUUCUGGAAAAUCCUCUAUAUUUCUUUGCCGAAGAAUUAUCAUCACGGGACAGACGUCCUUCACGGGCUCCCUCUUCUAGCCUCAUCCCCAUAUUUACCAUUUCGGUAAAGUCCGAGGGAACACUAGCAAUCAUACGCUCAUAUUAGAAAGAGCUCAAAG
rnacentral:lncRNA from 1 species